CAUGCCCAAGCUUAUCUACCAACCUCCACUCAAUCCUGUUGUGUCAACCAGCUUGGGGAUCGCUUCUUCUUUAUCAUAAGGCACGUGAGCAUACAAAAAGAGUGUAAAGAAGAUGAGAUAAAAUGUGAGAAGAGAAGAAGAUACAAAGAAGAAAGUCAUUGUUCAGCCCUUGGAGAUGCAAUGGAUCUUGGAAAUGGAUGGAGGUGCUCGAAAAUUGAAGAGAGAUCGCGCUGGACUGUCUCCGUCCAAUGUAUCUACGUUUUCCAUGUGAGGCGGAAUGAUUCCGUUCUGGCACAUGCGUGACGGCGACGGCGGAAAUUCAACAUAAAGCGACGUUUGGCCAUUGGUCUUAAUUUGCUUAUAAUUAAGUUGAAGAUGAGAAGGGAUCGGAUUAUCCGGUGGUGGCCGUCAUUAAUGUGGAAAUCUGGGACUUACACGGAACCGAGAUGAAGUCAACUUGUGUACACGGACUAGAAAUUAAAUGAAUGGUUCUUUUUAUUUUGCUGA